CAGUAAUGUGCCCAAGGUCACACAGACAGUGGGUGGCAGAGGCAGGAUUCCAUUGCUGUCUGACUCCGGCAUCCCUCUUGGGUUUUGUCAUGUUCCUGCUUCCAGCUUGAGAUAUGUAUCCCACCACAUCCCUGACUCUCUCGCUCAGAUUCCAGGAGCCAGGUUCCCUGAGGGGCACCAUCCUUAGGAGCCGCAGGACUAGAGAUGUCACCUGCCAUCGGCCCCUUUUGUGUAAGUAGCUUCGACAGCCCUUGCCACCUUCUGUGAGCAUCCCUUGUAGCGGGUGACUCCACCCCUUCUCCUCCCUGCCACGGCUGACUGGACCAACAUUGGCCACGUGACCCGAAAGCUGCCUAUCUAUAGGCUGGCCCACCACCCUAUCACGGUGUGGCUUGGAUGGCUUGGCCAAUCAGGUUCUCUCCUGCAAUUCGAACUCAGACUCAAGGAAGUUCCAGUUGGUGGUGGCCAUUGAACUUGGAUGCCGAGCAGAUUCAGGGUUGGAGCAGCUGUUUAGGACAGCUGAGUCCCGGAGGAAACCAGGCGACUGACACGGGAGGUCUCGGCCGCUGCAGAAGGCAGAACAGCGAUGUCACGAAGGAGCGACUUUCUAAAGAAGGCCGCAUCAUCGGGCCCCAUGUGGGCGAGGACCUGCAUUUGUUCCCCGUAGAGUGGUGCUGCGUGCUCCCGGGGCAAUGAGCCUCCGGACUCGAACUCGUACCGGCACCUCCGUGGGUCAUACGUAUCUUUCUUGGGCCAGGGUAAGUCUCAUGAAUACCUGUUUGUUGAGUGUGGCUGCCCAUCCGAAGUUAUACAGAUAUGGUUACUUUCAACUCGUGCACAGUGAAAUCCACUGGGGUCUCUCUCCUGUGUCACUCUUAGUGAUGGCAGCCCCCGCCUCCCACCCAGGAAGUAACGGGCUGUCAUCACAGAUUUGUCCCUCUCUCAGUGGGUCAUUGGGCUGAGUUGAGAGUCAUCUUCUGCUCAGGUGCCAACCUCCUCCUUGGUGUCCCUGCUGCUGACAUUACUUCCUUCCAAAGCACUUUUCUUAUUGCUGCAGGAGGCGGCUUUUCAAAAUGCAGAUCUGAAUGCGUCCCUCCUCUCCCUAAGACCUUCGCUGGCUCCCCAUUGCCCUUAUCUUGAAGACUUUUUUCGUCGAGUCAUGCCUACCCAUCCGGUGUCUCCUGUUGCUCACGUGUGAACAUGACCCCCUGGUUGCGUGAACCGUUAGUUCUCAGAGUGUGGACCCUCCUUCUUCCUGCCAUGCCUCUGCUCACACUGUCUUCCAUCUUGCUUGUCUUCCCUUCACACUAUCUGCCUCUCAAACCCCUGCUCAUUCUUCUGGACUCAGCCAGAGCAUUUC
rnacentral:lncRNA from 1 species